rnacentral:rRNA from 1 species
AUCAACCUAUCCUAUUUGGCGGCCUUCGAUCUUAUUAGAGGAACUUGUUGUUUAACCGAUGAUACGCGAUAUUUUUAACUCAAACCUAAUUUUUAUACCUCCGUCCAAAGGGUAAAAUUAAAUAUUUUAUCCAUUCCUUACCACACCAAGCAACCAUGUCAGGUCAAGGUGAAGUUAAUGUCUGAGUUUCAAUGAGUUAUCAAUAAAUAUAAUUUAUGGACUUUUAUUUAAAACUAAAAUCGAAUUAAGAUUUAAAAGUAUUUCCAAUUCAAUUCAUUGGAAAGAAUCAGCAAAAAAGGUGUACAUAUCGCCCGUCGCCCUCGUCCAAAGAUGAGGUAAGUCGUAACACAGUUAAUGUACUGGAAAGUGUAUUAGGUGUAUCUCUGCUUAGCUUCAAGUUUUUCAUUUACACUGAAAAGAGGAUAUUUUUUCAAAUUCUGACAUUAUUAAAUAAAAUCUUUGUUCCAACUUUUAUCUAAUUUAAAAUUUUAAAAACUGUAAAGGAUCGACAUAAAAUACUUUAAGUAAAUAUAUGUACCUUUUGUAUCAGGGAUUUUCAAAUCAUAACGUAAAUUUCAAUCCCCCGAAAUAAGACGAACUUCAUAUCCUAAUAAAAGUUAUGGCAUAAACAAUACAAACUUCACGAAGUUGAGAUAUUCUUUUCAAGUCUUCCUUUAUCUGGUUCACUUCAUUUUUUAAAAAAUAGUCCUAAGAACAAGCUUAGCACCAAAGUUUUUAUCCCUCCACCCUCCCAUUCUAGAUUUAAUAGUAAUCAUAUUGUCUUCAAACUCCCCCCCCCUUUUUUUUCCUUCACCUUAAACAUUAUUCUAGUGAUCCCUCUUAUUCCUAUUACAAUGAAAAUAUUAGUAAAAAAUUCUCUUUCCUUCAUUUUUAAACUUCUCCUUUUUAAUAAUUUUACAUUGAAAUUAUGAACUAGGCCCUCAAUCAAUUGACUGUUUACCAAAAACAUAGCUAAUAGAUUUCAACUACUAGUAAUACCUGCUCCA